GUAGAAAUGGCGAUCGCGGUUGGUCACGCCGCAGCGAAUCGAUGGACAGAUAAUGUAUUCACACUGCAGCAUUGGUGUUCAUCUAAUUUUCCUGAGGCAAAAGAACAACUUGAGCACAUGUAUAAGGAGGUGGGAAUAACAGAGGAUUUGGAUUACCUUUCAAAUGAUAUUCUGGAUAAUGCAACUAUGUUAUAGUGGAGAGAUUGUUCUGCAAUAGAAAUGUGA